AUUGAACGCUGGCGGCAGGCCUAACACAUGCAAGUCGAACGGUAACGGAAAGCAGCUUGCUGCUUUGCUGACGAGUGGCGGACGGGUGAGUAAUGUCUGGGAAACUGCCUGAUGGAGGGGGAUAACUACUGGAAACGGUAGCUAAUACCGCAUAACGUCGCAAGACCAAAGAGGGGGACCUUCGGGCCUCUUGCCAUCGGAUGUGCCCAGAUGGGAUUAGCUAGUAGGUGGGGUAAUGGCUCACCUAGGCGACGAUCCCUAGCUGGUCUGAGAGGAUGACCAGCCACACUGGAACUGAGACACGGUCCAGACUCCUACGGGAGGCAGCAGUGGGGAAUAUUGCACAAUGGGCGCAAGCCUGAUGCAGCCAUGCCGCGUGUAUGAAGAAGGCCUUCGGGUUGUAAAGUACUUUCAGCGAGGAGGAAGGUGUUGUGGUUAAUAACCACAGCAAUUGACGUUACUCGCAGAAGAAGCACCGGCUAACUCCGUGCCAGCCGCCGCGGUAA
rnacentral:rRNA from 1 species